UAAAAUGAAAUAUGGCUUAUGUUGGAUUGCUUGGCAUUUAGAGUCGAAGAAGGGCGUAGUUACUGACGAUAUGCUUUGGGUAAUGAGAAACAAGUUAUGAUCCAAAGAUUCCCGAUUGGGGCAACCUGUUUAACUUUUUUGAAUUUUUAAUUAUAUAUGUGGGCAACUUGGUGAACUGAAACAUCUUAGUAGCCAAAGGAAAAGAAAGCAAUAGCGAUUUUCUUAUUAGUGGCGAGCUAACUGAAAACAGCCUAAACCUUUUUGGGUGUAGUGGGACUUAUUUUAGUGUAUCUUAAAUAUUUUUGAAUUUGUUGAAUGCAAUACCAUAGAAGGUUGAAAGUCCUGUAUAAAAUAUUUAUUUUAUUUUUAAGUUUCCCAAGUAGCAUAGAGCACGUGAAAUUCUGUGUGAAUCGGCGAGGACCACCUCGUAAGGCUAAAUACUCCUAAAUGACCGAUAGUGAACUAGUACCGUGAGGGAAAUCUGAAAAGAACACUGAGAAGUGAGUGAAAUAGAUUAUGAAAGCAUAAGCUUACAAGCAGUGGGAGGUCUAUAUGAAGACUGACCGUGUGCCUGUUGAAGAAUGUGCCGGCGACUUAUAAGCAGUGGCUUGGUUAAGGUUUUUAUACCGUAGCCAUAGUGAAGUCGAGUUUUAAUAGAGCGUUUGUCACUGUUUAUAGACCCGAACCCGGGUGAUCUAAUCAUGACCAGGAUGAAGCUUUGGUAAUAUAAAGUGGAGGUCCGAACCCACCAAUGUUGAAAAAUUGGGGGAUGAGUUGUGAUUAGGGGAGAAAUUCCAAUCGAACUCGGAGCUAGCUGGAUCUCUUCGAAAUGCGUUGAGGCGCAGCAGUUAUUUAUGGUGGUUUUAGGGGUAAAGCACUGUUUCGAUGCGGGCCAUGAAAAUGGUACUAAGUUGUGGCAAACUAAGAAUACUAAAAUUAAUUUCAAUUAACUAGUGAGACUAUGGGGGAUAAGCUUCAUUGUCGAGAGGGUAACAGCCCAGAUCAUCAUUUAAGGCCCCUAAAUAUAUACUAAGUGAUAAAGGAUGUAAAAUUACAUUGACAACCAGGAGGUUGGCUUAGAAGCAGCCAUUUACCUUUAAAAAGUGCGUAAUAGCUUACUGGUCAAGUGAUUUUGCGCCUAAAAUGAACGGGACUAAGUAUUUUGCCGAAAGUAUGAGAGAAAUCAGUAGAAGAGCGUUCUGUUUUGUUUAGAAGUAAUAACGUAAGUAGUUAUGGAUCAAUCAGAAGUGAGAAUGUCGGCUUAAGUAACGAAAACAUUGGUGGAAAUCCAAUGCCCCGAAAACCUAAGGAUUCCUUAGCCAGGUUCGUCCACUAAGGGUUAGUCAGUACCUAAGAUUAGGUUUAGAGACGUAAUCGAUGGAUAACAGGUUAAUAUUCCUGUACUAAUUUUCAUUUUUUAAGAGUGACGAAAGAAGCUAGAUCAUCCAAAGAUUGGUUGUUUUGGUUUAAUAUUUCAAGGCUGUGAGAAGUAUAAAAAAAAAUAUUUUGAGCUAAGAGUAGAAUACGAUGGGUACUACGGUACCGAAAGUGAUUAAUGCUAUAUUUCCUAGAAAAACUUUUGUAAUUUUAUUGAGAGUUAACUGUACCAUAAACUGACACAGGUGGGUUAGUAGAGAAUACUAAGGGGCGCGAGAUAACUCUCUCUAAGGAACUCGGCAAAAUGACUCCGUAACUUCGGAAGAAGGAGUGCCUCUUUAGAGGUCGCAGUGAUCAGGUCCAAGCGACUGCUUACCAAAAGCACAGGUCUCCGCUAAGUUGUAAAAUGAUGUAUGGGGGCUGACGCCUGCCCAGUGCCAGAAGGUUAAAGAAAUUGGUUAGCGUAAGCAAAGCUAGUAACUGAAGCCCUGGUGAACGGCAGCAAUAACUAUGAUUGUUCGAAGGUAGCGAAAUUCCUUGUCGGGUAAGUUCCGACCCGCACGAAAGGCGUAACGAUUUGGACGCUGUCUUGGAGAGAGACUCGGUGAAAUAGAAUUGACUGUGAAGAUGCGGUCUACUUGCACUUGGACAGAAAGACCCUAUGAAGCUUUACUGUAACUUGAGAUUGGUUUUGGACUUUUCUUGCGCAGAAUAGGUGGGAGGCUUUGAAUCUCUUUUUAGGAAGUUGAUGAGCUGUAAUGUGAGAUACCACUCUGGAGAAGUUAAGAAUCUAAUAGUAUUAUUUUAUCAAGAUACUUGACAGUUUCAGGCGGGCAGUUUUACUGGGGCGGUAGCCUCCUAAAAAGUAACGGAGGCGUACAAAGGUUUUCUCAGUCUGGACGGAAAUUAGUUUUAGAGUGUAAAGACAUAAGAAAGCUUGACUGUGAGACCUAUAAGUCGAGCAGAGACUAAAGUCGGUCUUAGUGACCCGACGGUACUGAGUGGAAGGGCCGUCGUUCAACAGAUAAAAGUUACUCUAGGGAUAACAGGCUGAUCUCCCCCAAGAGUUCACAUCGACGGGGAGGUUUGGCACCUCGAUGUCGGCUCAUCGCAACCUGGGGCGGUAGUACGUCCCAAGGGUUGGGCUGUUCGCCCAUUAAAGCGGUACGUGAGCUGGGUUCAGAACGUCGAGAGACAGUUCGGUCCAUAUCCGGUGUGAGCGUUAGAGUAUUGAAAGGAGCUCUCUUUAGUACGAGAGGACCGAGAGGGACACACCACUGAUGUACCAGUUUUUGUGCCAACAGAAAACGCUGGGUAGUCAAGUGUGGAGCGGAUAACUGCUGAAAGCAUAUAAGUAGGAAGCCCACCUUAAGAUUAGUACUCUUUUAAAGGUCACGAUAAGAUUAAUCGUUUUAUAGGUAUCAAGUGUAAUGUCAGUAAUGAUUUUAGCUGAGAUAUACUAAUAGACCAUAAGUUUUUCCUAC
rnacentral:rRNA from 1 species